AGUGAACGCUGGCGGUAGGCCUAACACAUGCAAGUCGAACGGCAGCACAGUAAGAGCUUGCUCUUACGGGUGGCGAGUGGCGGACGGGUGAGGAAUACAUCGGAAUCUACUUUUUCGUGGGGGAUAACGUAGGGAAACUUACGCUAAUACCGCAUACGACCUACGGGUGAAAGCAGGGGAUCUUCGGAUCUUGCGCGAUUGAAUGAGCCGAUGUCGGAUUAGCUAGUUGGCGGGGUAAAGGCCCACCAAGGCGACGAUCCGUAGCUGGUCUGAGAGGAUGAUCAGCCACACUGGAACUGAGACACGGUCCAGACUCCUACGGGAGGCAGCAGUGGGGAAUAUUGGACAAUGGGCGCAAGCCUGAUCCAGCCAUACCGCGUGGGUGAAGAAGGCCUUCGGGUUGUAAAGCCCUUUUGGUGGGAAAGAAAAGCAGCAGGUUAAUACCCCGCUGUUCUGACGGUACCCAAAGAAUAAGCACCGGCUAACUUCGUG
rnacentral:rRNA from 1 species